UACAGAGACUGCAAGCGUUACUCGGAUUCACUGGGCGUAAAGGGAGCGCAGGCGGACCGGUGUGUCAGAUGUGAAACCCCAGGGCUCAACCCUGGGACUGCGUCUGAAACUGCCGGUCUAGGGACUCGGAGGGGCUAGUGGAAUUCCUGGUGGAGCAGUGAAAUGCGUAGAUAUCAGGAGGAACACCAACGGCGAAGGCA
rnacentral:rRNA from 1 species